UUCAACAAAACUUAUCACAAGAAGCUCAAAAAGACAUUUCUUAUACUGGUUUUACAAAUGAGAAGCUGAAGCUGAGAGUGAAGAUAUGGUUUGCCCAAGUUAUUACAUACAGGAAGAUAGCAGACCAGAAAUUCAGAUCAGGUCGAGUCAACUACAAAACCCAUGUUCUGGAACCACUAAGCAUCCUCUUUUCAAUUUCAAGAGAAGCAAGGCCUCUUAGAGGAAGGUAGUUUUUGUGACUAGCCAAAUCUGCACAAAGUUGGAGGAAUUCUAGGGAGACGGACGGGCCUUCGGUGUAGGCUGGAAAGAACAAUGUUUAAAAAUACCCUGUCUCCUCCUUGAGAGUGUAGAAACAGGGACUCAAAGUUGUCAAUGCGUUCAACGUUUUAUAAAAGCAGAUGAAAGAGUCAAGAUUCAAACCUAAAUCUAUCUGACUGCAAAAGGUGUGGCAUUACCUGGGCGGCCCAUUGAGAAAUGUUGGAGGAAGUGCUCGGAGCUCAUUGAGUGAGUGAGGAUCUUGGCAACCUGGCCAGGGAGGCAACGGGAGAAUGACUGGAUGCCUACAUGUGACUGUGAUAACCUGUGUAUGGAAUCAUUUGAGAGAAGUAUCAAUUGUCCUCUACCAAAAUGUCUACCGGAGCAGUGAGGGUGAGGAAUUUUUUCUGAAUCGUGGACUCAGAACCAGUUAAGUGCAUGACUGACACAACACAUGAACUUUGAACAAUUACAUUCAAACAUCAGGACAGUCUUUGUUAACAUCGCCAACUCUCUUCCUUAUUACCAAGAAACUGGGAGAGAAGUGGCAUUCCAAAGGGACUCUGCAAGACUG
rnacentral:lncRNA from 1 species